CAAGUGCGUGAGAUAAAUUCAUCUGAUUGUUCUGAAAAUGGAACAAUUUCACCACGGAUUGGAAAAAAGAAAAAGAAAAAGGAUCAAUAAACCUAAUUCAACAAAUAUAUUGAUGUAAUUUUUGACGGAUGGAGUUAGACUGGACGAGUAGUGACGGUGUAGGAAUAUUCCUCGCCGGAAUCGAAGUCCGUGGUAUGAAUUGUUUAGCAUACUAAUUAAGGGAUUAUUUCCUUCGCCCAAAAUACCCGAGGAGAGUUAUGGAUUCGGGGGGUGAGGUGCGUUCUGCGUCAUCGACCUCCUAGGACAAUACGACGCAUACCUCAUUCCUCCAACCGAUCCAUACGGGGAAGUCGUUCUUUUCAAAUUAUAAGCUAUACGUAAAUAAGCGAGCUACAGAUAUAUCAGGUUCACGUAAGGUAUGCCGAAAUUUUUCACCCAUAUUGGACCGAAGACCUCUCAUUUAUCCGAAACUUUUUCAGCUUGCAUAAUAGCGAAUUUUGAUCAUUCAGAUUCAUCGCCGAUCGGGCUGGAAUUUACAAAAAAAAAAAAACCUUCAUUACGCGAACUAUGUAUUUCAGUGUACUAUAAAGAAAUUUCGUACCAAUGCUCGCUGAUUAAGCAACCGGCUGUGAGGCUCAACUCGGCUAGCCGGGAGUCUAAUCGAUGGAAAACGAUCGAUCUGUGUCGUCCCCCCUGCCAGCACAGGUUGAGGACGCAGGUGAAAAUAGAGUGGGUGGUAAAAUUUGUAGGGACCGCUGCUGGUUUCGCGGUCGUCAGACCGACGAAUAUCUAAACGUUGCACAGGUCAAAGUGCGUCUCUCAGGCAGCGUCUGCAGGAAAUCUCAGGGUACCCCGUUAAUAUCGUUCAUCUUUCACUCACCUACAGUAUGCAAGGAAUGGCGAGGCGGGAUCUUCAGGCUCCUUCGGGAGACCUCGUCAUAGCUCCUAGAGUUCCUCAUGGACUCGCAGCAGCUGUUGAGGGCUUGACGAGAGAAGUUAUUCGGCAUCGUCCUGAGGACAUUUACGUUUUCGCUGCCCAGCAUUUCGAGGAACUUCUUAAGCUACGCGACGAGUUUGGAGCUGUUACGAAUCUCCCCGGAAAAAGUUCAAACACAGCUGCCCUGCGCGAAAUGAACCAGUCCUUGAAAAAAAGAGAUUGUUCAUCGAAUCCAUUUCCGUUUAAUAAAGAUAAAAAUUCACCCACAGAACGAGGUAGCGGAUGGUCAAUGAAUGAGACUGCGAAAGUCCUUGAGAGGCAUCGGAGUAUUUUCGGCGAUAAAGGGCGGAAAGUCAGCCCUGAGGAAAUCAGGGCGCUAGCUAGUGAAAAGGAAAAUAAAUCUGAGACGUACACGGGACAACGAAGAAGAGGGUCUAAUGAAAGAUUUGUUCAGAGAAAGCUAUCGAGGGAAUUCGAAGAUGAGAAACUCAGGGAUAAAAAUAUUUCAAGGAGUGAUUCUAACGGGAACCUUAAAAUUAUAUCGCAGAUACCGAAAUUACCGGGUAAUAACGGUGGAGCCGGACUUCUUGCGAAGGAUAUUAAAUCGGAACUGAGGAAGAAUAGAAAUAGUAGCCGGAAUGUACGAGGGUAUAAGCAAAAGGCUGAAAAAAGAACGGACAGGUUUGACGGUGGUGCAAAAAAAGCCAGCUUAGCUAGAAAAUCUGAAUUUGCAACAGAUAACUCAAUCGAAUGUGAGCAAAAAUUACAAAAAAUGAACGAAACUGAUAAUCAAAAAUAUGAGACUGAUAACAAGAAAUCUUCAAGGUCAUUCGCAAAGAUUCCAAGGACGCUCAGCAUGGACAGGGUCCGGAAAUUCGUAGUUGAAAAAUUCCGUGCUUCUGAAAGCUGGGAGGAGCUCAGAUCGACGGAUUACGUUGGUCGCGUUCAGGAGGUGAUAGACGGUGCGGCCCCUUCGAUCCUGAAAAGAGUACAAGAGCUGAAUCCUUCGGCAAGGGUUAAACCAGGGCGUCGUUUAGCCGAACGUGGUGGGGGCUACGAAUCCAUUGAUGAUUCAACGAGCACUUCUACAAGAUCCGACAAAUCUAAUCAGACGGAUGAUGUCAGGAGUAAAAGUGCCAUGUCGGUUUCCAGAAGGUCAAGAAGACCGCGGAUCAGAAGACCGGAAUCUAGAUCGAAAAUAUCCACGACAGAAAGUAGAGGCGCCGAUUCACUUGAAGGAAUUGAAACUUUAGCAUCUGAGAUGGAGCAAGUUAUUGCGGAACCUAAAAACUCCCAUGGGAUUAUUCAAGGUCCGGCUACCACCGUCGCGGUGAUCGACAGCGUAGGAAUAAUAACUACAAUUGAUAAAACAAUCAAUGGUUUCAAAGGGGAAUUAUUAUCCGAUCCCGAAGACGUGACGGAUCCCGUUAGAAAGAGCAGUUCCGGUUCUUCCAGCAUUUCUUUACCCGCUGUUAGACCACCAUCUUCGAAGAAUAAUUCUAGGAGCGUUUCAAGAACUGAGUGCGAUGAUCUCGUACUGCCUCCAAUACCUCCGGAGGCUCCAAGGUCUGCCAAAUUAAAGGAGGAAAUUAUAUUGCCGAGUCUUUUACAAGUUAUCGUAGGGGGUAGCGGGAAAUCUGAUUUUGCGGAACUCGAUCCUCCCGAUGCCCCUGAUGGGGAGAUAUUCAAAGACAGUUUGAACGUUACACCGGAAGUUGGCGGCACCCCAAGACCCGAUUCUCUUGAACCUGGAGAGAAUAUCGCAGAACGCAGGGCCAAAUUCAACGAACUUGAAGGCCAAACUGAUCCCGAAAAAGUCGUAGAGACAAAAGAGAGACAACAUAAAAUCGAAGAGAAGCUUAUGAACAUUGAGGACCACGAGAAAAAAAUAGCUGCGAUAUUGCUGGCUGACGUUGAGGGGAUCAUAGAUGACGAUGUUGACGGCGAGACCAUCGCGCCUGUGGUCUCAGUGAAGGAGAAGCUAAUGGAAAUUCAAGAGGCACAGGUAAGGCUGAGAAAUGUUCUUGAUCGUGACACAGGUAAACAAGAAUUGGCGAUUCCGGAGGAAUUGGCUGAUCCUGGAAUUAAAGAAACGUUAAUCGAGACUCACAAUCAGGCAAAUGAGGAAAAAAUCGAAAGAAUAUUGCAAGUUGAAGAUCAGAAGGUUGGAGAGGAUCGCGAACCCGAUACUAUGAUCAAAGAGAAGCUGAUGGAGGUUGAGGAGACUGCAAAGAGAAUCGAAAGGAUUCUUAAUAUGGAACCGGAACCACAAGAGAUCAAAGCGGGUGAACCUGAAUCUGCAAGCGGGGAGAAAUUUUUCGAAAUAGAAGAACCCCAAAAGGGGAUGGAACAAAAGUUUGAAACGGAUACCCAGGAAAUCGAGAAAUUAGUCCAUGAAAACCAUGAUAUGGAUUCUUUUCCGAAGACGCCAUUAAUUCCCGAAAUCCCGUGCGAAUACGUUACAACCCCGCAGAAAGAAUUAAGUGAAAAUCCGGUCGGGGAACGCGAACUAAAUCUCAUUGUUCAAAGUAUUGAAAAAUCGCCGGAAAAUAUCGAGACAGAUGAGGAACAAAAGGAAGACAAUGAAGAUCGAUUGAGCGUGGGACGAAUCACUUUGGCGACACCGGAUUCCUUAGGGACAUCCUAUGUUCUUACCGAGGGAUCGCCCUAUGAAAUUCCAGAGUCAGUUACAACGGUGAUAUUCCCCGAAAGGCAGCUAGAAUCGGUCUCUUCAGAUGUAGAUGAAAUCGUUCUUAACAACGAGCCUAUAGAUGGUCGGGAUUCUCCUUCUGAGUACGAUAAUAACGCAGAUGUUUCCUUGGAAAAUAUUCUAGAUAAUUUCAGUGAAACAGUGCACAAGGAGCCAGUUUCGACAUCAAUUGUUGACGUGGACUUGAUUAACAGGUUGAAAACCCCCGAGGAUUCCAGCAUCCCUAAAAAGGAUCUUGGAUUAAUUACCGAGGAGGAGGGCGAUAGGGAGAUCGUCGAAACUGAAAAAGGGGUCCGGAACGUCGAUGCAGAGCACGCUCAGGAAGAUGCUACGACUCAGCCGAAGACAACAAAGACCGAGGACGUCGAAGAGAUUGCGAAUGCCGAGGAAAUCGAACGGGAAGAAACCGAUACGCUACCGUUGGCCGAAGUGAACGCAACUGAUUCCGGCGUAACCGAUUCGACCGAUGAAGUGAAGGAAACUACGAUAUCGGACGACUGCGUAAAUACCGGAGCUGAAUCAUCGGGCCAGAGUUCUCAAUCCGAAAGCGCUGAAAUUUUGUUAGGCGUGAGAAAUUCCGAGUCGUCUAACGAAGUGAAGGAGACCACGAUCAGCGAUCAGCCGUUGGACGAAGGUGGAAAAAACCUCUACGGUUUGGGUCAGCAAUGUCACGGAAUCGCACCGAAUGUUCCAGAGUUAAAUUUGGACUCUCUUCAAGAUAUUACCGUAUCCUCUUUCCAGUUGUCCGACGAUGCAACCGCUGAUGAAGAGGACAAGGCCCAUGCCGUAAGCGAAAAUGAAAUUCCGGAACACGACUCAAACGAAGAAGACCAGGAGUUUUCACACCCGGAGAAAGUUGACGAAGAUGGUAUCCUGAAUAAUCAAGCCCGCGUCGAGGAAGUACCGGACUCCAACGAAGACCCUCAUCCAAUUGGAAUCGAUAAUGAAAAUUUGGAACUUACUUCUGGGAAGAUACCAGAUGAACAGACGUCUUUAAAAUCCAUCGAUUCUCAAAUGGAUACUGUGAGUCUGAACGACUUUAAGGCAUUAGAGGCGAAUUUUGCAGCUGAAUUCUCUGAGGAGGUGAUCCCUGCGGAUAUUGCAGAUAAAAAAGAGGAGGAAUCAGAAGAAAUUCGAGAGACAAUUGACCAGAAACUGAAUAACGCUAUUGAAUUUGCAGCACAAAUUACGUCGAACGAGGCUCCAGAUUUAUUGAUCCCCGAGAAAGAAGAAAAACUUCCGGAAGACCCUGCGAAGACCGAUAUCGUCCCGAAUGAUCCCAUUGACAACGAAGGGUCUGGUGAUAAAAUGGAGUAUCAUAUUUACGUGCCGGAAUUGAUAACAGCCAGCGAAGAUUUUAGCACAACUACCGAAAGCAGCACUUUCAACUCUGCAGCGACAAAAAUUCAAGCUGGUGUUAGAGGAUUUUUAACCCGCAGGCGUCUUCAGAGUGCUCAGAGACGAAGUUCCACCCUCGAUAGCGUUCCCUCGAUACAAGACAGUCUCGCAACCGACGCCGCUCAUCUAGAACCGAUCGAGGAAGUCGGUUUCACUCAGGCUGCGACCACGAUUCAAAGCGGAUACCGGGGCUACAAAGCACGGCAGAGAUUGAGACGGGAAGAUGCUGUUCAGAAAACGACUCUUUCGGUCGAAAAUGUGUUCGGAGGUAACGGCCUUCGACACACCGGUGAGUUUCACGAUUGUCUACCGCUUCCGAUAGCGUCGAACGGUGAUGAAAAAAAUUCUAUCGGCGACGUUAUCUCGGAUUCCGAGGGUCACGAGGACGGAGAAAUCGGUUCGGAUGGUAAGAGAAGUCGCGAAACCACGGAGCCUCGUCAUCGGGACGAGGAAAACCGCGUUGAAGAAAACAUGGGAACAAUCGCCGAUUGCCCAUCGGACCCAAGAGAGAUGAACUUGGUAGCCGUCGUUACUUCUGGAAACGAAUCGACCCUGCAAACUCAAUAUUUGAAUUUCAUCACCAGCGUAGAGGAAGUACCGAGGGAAAUGGAAUCCUCUCUGGUAUCCGAUAAGGUCCUCGACGACACGGAUUAUACCUACAUGAAAAGCAACGUUGGGAUCGAAAAUCUCCCUGUUGAUAUUUCGGGGGAAAACAGCAGCGUUAGCCUCAGGGAACCUUUGGCGAUUCCCGGAACAUUUGAUACCGAUGUUUUUAUAGAAGAAUUGUCGAAGACGGAGGAGAGGGAAGUCGACGGUGAACCGACCGAAGAUGUGACCGGGGAUGAAAUUAAAACCGAUACUAUGGGAAAUUCUCUCGAUUUACCCGGGCUGUCGUUGGACGGAAAAGACGAGGCUGCGGAAGAUGUUCCUCGGGUCGUUUUCGAAGAACAAGUUAAUCCGGAAGUCGGAGUUGCUUUAGAAUCUACCGACUCGCUACCCCAGGACGCUAAUUCUCUGGGAACGAUGUCCUUGUCCAUUAACGUUGACGAUAUGUUGGGACUAGGCGGAGGUGAAAGCGAUCUUCCGUCGAAAAUCAAACCAAUCCUAGAGGUGACCGUGACCCCGAGGGACCUGUUGAAACUCACGAACAGGUCGGAGGGCAGUCAGGCCAGUCGAGAUAGGAUAGAAUCGCCGGUUACUAUGAUGCAAAUUGUGCCUAAAAGUAUCGAAGAGAAAAGUGACAGAUCCGAAGAAGCUGCGGGAGACGAAGAACGAAAAAAAUCGAUCGAAAAUCCCGAAGAUUCCGAUGAAAAUUUGACGAAGGAUCCGAUUAAUACAGCGGAUGCAGAUUCCAAGAUCUAACUCUUACAGGGAACAGAGUAAAGAUUGAAAAUUACAGCGUAUCGAGAGCGAAGCGAAACGGGAUCCGAUCGUGUCAUUGAGUCGAGUAGCACGAAUUUUAGACAGUUGUUUACACUUUAUCGUCGAAUCGACUAUUUCCGUUCUCACAGUUUGUCCGUCCGUCCCUCAAUCUUUUCGUCUAUUUAUCCGGUAAAUAUCUCGGUGGUUCGCACGUCAGACGGAUUCUCGAAGAAACUAACGAUCUGAGUUUGCCAAAAUUCCAGAUUUUAACGGAGACAUAGGCUGGCAUUCUCCUCAAGGAGUGUUUCAAGUCAUUAGUAGCGGUCCACUAUUUUUGGCUUACAGGAAUUUACAUGCCUCUAGAUCAUCGUACAUCUAUAAUGCCAGCCGGAAAAUAUUUUAAACCUACAGCCUAGCUGUACUGUUUAUUUUUGUACAAGUAACUCAUCGGUUAAACGAGAUUAUUAUUCAACCGAUGAUCCAGAGCCGGGAUAUAAUCCUUUCCCCGUUGCUCGUCCCAUCAUUCUACCUCUACUGCAAUCGAUCAAAAGUCAAACCGAUUGAAAUUGCACCGAAGAAGAGGAACGAAAAGAAAAAACUCCGUUUGACGUGACGCUAUGCAUCGUACGACGAAUUACGAAUGAUGACCUUGGACCAUAUAUUUUGGGUUCGGCCACAUGCACAUUGUCUCUGUUUUUGGUUUCAUUGACGAGGAGCACAGACCCGCAAGUUUCCAAAUUUUUCUUUCAGUAAAUAGGUCUUUUGAAGACAUAAAUUCUAUAGGUUCGUAUUUCUGGCUCACCCCAAUGUAUGAAUAUAUCGACUAUACGAAAAUAAAAAUGGAUCGGUUAUUUCCUAUUUCGUUGUCAGUGCAAUCUCGACAAUUAUUUAGUCCUAUAAAAAUCUGCUCCUGGACAAACUUUAAUUCUAUUCAAUUCUAUUCACGUGACACCUUGCCGACAGGGAGACCUCUGCAGAUACCAACGUUGACGAAGACGAUGACGAAGACGACGACGAUGACGAUGUCCCAAGACAAAAUCGAAGAUCAAGUCUCCCACUCAGGCGUUGAAAUCUCUCACCUGAGCACAAUUAUGUUCGGAUCGCAGAUGUGGAACGAAACGAUACACAUCCAUCGUUGUGGUGAAAGAAGAUCGAUGUGCACAUAUGAUAACCCACGGAGCAUUAUAUAGGGAUCGAUGCCCAAUUUCGAAAAAUCAUGAUUUCCCGAAGAGUUUUCCCUCUGUACGGUAUUCCUCGUAUAUCUCGUGAUGGAUGACAAUUAUCUCAUAAAAUCGAUAGGAUCGCGGUUUAGUUUUAUCUGCUUCUUUUGUGUCUCUCUUUCUUUUGCCCAAUGAAUUCGUAAACAUAUUAUUGUCUAUAGGCGUUACAUGCGAUGCGUAUGUUAAUUAUUAAUUAUUCUCUUGUACAACACUCGUCCAAGUAUGGCAGUUUCAAGUUUGGCACAAACGCAAGCGCGCACAGGGACCGGGGAUUCAUUGCUUGGUAAACCACGUACGCGGUAACUAAACUCGGAACAACGUUGAUCUCUGGCUUUCAGUCGUCGCGACGUUGUGCGGCUCAACGGUUCGUUACGAGCUAAAUCAGACACUGUUCGCGAAAAUCGAUCGGUUCUCAAGAAAUUCAAUCCGAUCGUUUCUUUGUUCGUUCAUUUCGCUUGCAAGAAUUGCUCAAAUUGUGCAGCGAGUUGUAUUGAAAAAA
rnacentral:misc_RNA from 1 species